rnacentral:lncRNA from 1 species
AUAAUGAGACUUGUGCAUGGUCACAAGGAAAUAAGACCUUUAUACCUUGACCUAUACAAUCCAGGCCAUAAUAAUGUAGACAAUAUAGGCUCAUAUGUGGACAAUAUAUAGGCUCAGAUUUAAUGCUAUAAUUCACUCUCCCAAAACAAUGUUGAAAUCGUUUUCGCAUCGGCAACUCUAUCUAAUAGUAUAUCAUAUUGGGCUGCAUCAUUGAGAAGGGGAUAUGGGGGGUUUGACAGAUAUUCAUGCAAUAUUUUCAAAUGUAUCUUAUAAAUUGCUACAUAUACAAUUUUGUACUGUCCACAAAGUUUUUGGCCAUGAUUUGGUAGACCAUGUGAUGAGACUUAAAGUCACAGUCAUCUUGGUGUAAGACCACAUCCAGUUAUUCAAGGGCAAGUUAAGGGGAAAGAGAGGCCAUUGAUGAUAAAUUUCUAUUCAGGCAAUGUAAUUUAUCCUUUCCCACCGAUAACCAAAAACUCUAAGAACCUCUUCUACCAUGUCACCAACACCACAGUAGAUUUGUGGUGUCACAUCAAUAUUGCCCCCAUUUAAUAGCUUAAUUUAUGCAUAGCGGAUGCACUAUAGUGUUAGCUUUCAGAUCAGUGACAUGCCGUGGAAUUAUAAGUUGACAUAAGGGGAUCCAAGGUACCUACGAUUUUAACGUCCAAAUCCAAGAAGACGACGCGAAAGCCUAACCAUUUACUGAUGUAACUGAGCUACAGAGAUCAGUUGUCGAGCUUUAAGGGAAGCCUCACAUAUCGAUUUUUUCCACGAGAAACGUCAUAUGUUCGUUUGGGGGUGGGGGGGUUGGCAGCUGUGACGUUUCUCUGUAAACAUCAUGGAAAAAUUCGAUAGUUUUUAUCUUUGCAGAAUAUAAAAAAGAAAAUAAUUUGAUACAAACAGCGGUCUAUACAUUCGUAAUACCAUACCUGUUCUAUACCUAUGCAUUUAUAUUAUUACGGCUUCCUUGCAUUGUAAACACUCAAAUUUCAAGAAAGGCGCGCUAAAAUUAUCAAUAUUUCAAUUUCAUGCAAAAAAGUUGUUUUGAGAAACGUUGGAAAUUUUGAAGUUCAUAUUUAUAAUAAGAAAAGAGUAUGUCAUAUUCCUCGCUAAUUAAAGCAUCGCCAAUAGCCGACCGAAAAAAAUGUAUUAUAGAAAAUUACCUUAUUCUUGUGUACUAUAUAAGAACAAAAUAUCGAUAAAAUGUGUGACGUUUCUAAGGGGGGGGGGAUCUCCAGAGAAACGAACAUAUGACGUUUCUCAUGGACAAAAUCGAUAUGUGAGGCUUCCCUAACCACAAGUUCAUCAAUAUCAUGUUAUAGGUUAUGGCCUAUGGGUAAAUAUCAAGAUUUUGUUGCGCCUUGCGGGGAUCUCACUCGAUUGAAUAAUAGUUGAAGGUUGUGGUAGAUGGAAAUCAUCGAGUGGAAAUUUAUAUACAUUUAUAUUAGACCUGACCAGGAACAGUUGUGAAAAAUUUCCACUCGAUAAUUUCCACUAUACAAGACCCCUCAACUAUUAUUAUUCAAUCGAGUGAGAUACUAACAAAAUCUCGAUAUUUACCUACAAUUCACCUAACAUGAUAUAUACAGCUAUUAGCCUAUUUCAAUUAAGGUUGUCCCCCAAGCAAAGCAGAAAAGUCGAAUACGAGCGCGAAAGGCUGCUGGGAAUCGCUAAUAUAUUCUUUCAUUUAUUAGCGAUUCCCAGCAGCCUUUCGCGCUCGUAUUCGACUUUUCCGCUUUGCUCGUGGACAACCUUAAUUGAAAUAGCUGUCUGCAUGAUAGAGCUAUCCAGUAUAAAUAAAGUUAGUUUAAUUUGUUUCCUCCUGUACUAACAAUGCAUCAACAAGGGAUGUCACUUACUCUAUGGAGAACAGUUUAGAACUGACAGAGCUGUACAGUAUAAAUAUAUAUAGUUCAGUAAUUGAUGUUUCCUCCUUAGUAACACUAAGAACUAAGGGACACACUGGAUUUCUAGGGAGAAGAGUUCGAACGUCCUCCUUCCCUGACUCAAGAUCCACGUUCUAAAUGGGUUUGUUUUAAAAGUUCAGUGCAUGCCGCCAGUGGGCGAAACCUUGACCCCUUGGCAGUGAAUAGCUCUUUUUGAGUUAGCGACCAUUGAAAUAAUUAUUGUUCUAAAAGCUAACCUUUGUCUAAUGCAACAAAAUCAAUCUUUGAUCCAAAGAAAAUUCUUUUCGACAAAAAACUGCUUUCAAAAAAUAGUUAAAAUAU